rnacentral:rRNA from 1 species
UACGUAGGGACCAAGCGUUGUUCGGAUUUACUGGGCGUAAAGGGCGCGUAGGCGGCCACUGCAAGUCAGUUGUGAAAUCUCCGGGCUUAACCCGGAAAGGUCAACUGAUACUGCAGGGCUAGAGUGCAGAAGGGGCAACUGGAAUUCUCGGUGUAGCGGUGAAAUGCGUAGAUAUCGAGAGGAACACCUGCGGCGAAGGCGGGUUGCUGGGCUGACACUGACGCUGAUGUGCGAAAGCUAGGGGAGCGAACGGG